rnacentral:rRNA from 1 species
GAUGAACGCUGGCGGCGUGCCUAAUACAUGCAAGUCGAGCGAACGGACGAGAAGCUUGCUUCUCUGAUGUUAGCGGCGGACGGGUGAGUAACACGUGGAUAACCUACCUAUAAGACUGGGAUAACUUCGGGAAACCGGAGCUAAUACCGGAUGAUAUUUUGAACCGCAUGGUUCAAAAGUGAAAGACGGUCUUGCUGUCACUUAUAGAUGGAUCCGCGCUGCAUUAGCUAGUUGGUAAGGUAACGGCUUACCAAGGCAACGAUGCAUAGCCGACCUGAGAGGGUGAUCGGCCACACUGGAACUGAGACACGGUCCUGACGCCUACGGGAGGGAGCAGUAGGGAAUCUUACGCAAUGGGCGAAAGCCUGACGGAGCAACGCCGAGCGAGUGAUGGAGGUCUUCGGAUCGUAAAAAUGUGUUAUUAGGGAAGAACAUAUGUGUAAGUAACUGUGCACAGCUUGACGGUACCUAAUCAGAAAGCCACGGCUAACUACGUG